CCUACGGGAGGCAGCAGUGGGGAAUAUUGCACAAUGGGGGAAACCCUGAUGCAGCGACGCCGCGUGAGUGAGGAAGUAUUUCGGUAUGUAAAGCUCUAUCAGCGGGGAAGAAAAUGACGGUACCUGACUACGAAGCCCCGGUUAACUACGUGCCAGCAGCCGCGGCAAUACGUAGGGGGCAAGCGUUAUACGGAUUUACUGGGUGUAAAGGGAGCGUAGACGGCUAAUCAAGUCAGAAGUGAACACCCAGGGCUCAACCUUGGGACUGCUUUUGAAACUGAGUAGCUAGAGUGCAGGAGAGGUAAGCGGAAUUCCUAGUGUAGCGGUGAAAUGCGUAGAUAUUAGGAGGAACACCAGUGGCGAAGGCGGCUUACUGGACUGUAACUGACGUUGAGGCUCGAAAGCGUGGGGAGCGAACAGGAUUAGAUACCCGAGUAGUC
rnacentral:rRNA from 1 species